rnacentral:rRNA from 1 species
AACGCUGGCGGCGUGCCUAAUACAUGCAAGUAGAACGCUGAAGAGAGGAGCUUGCUCUUCUUGGAUGAGUUGCGAACGGGUGAGUAACGCGUAGGUAACCUGCCUUGUAGCGGGGGAUAACUAUUGGAAACGAUAGCUAAUACCGCAUAACAAUGGAUGACACAUGUCAUUUAUUUGAAAGGGGCAAUUGUUCCACUACAAGAUGGACCUGCGUUGUAUUAGCUAGUAGGUGAGGUAAUGGCUCACCUAGGCGACGAUACAUAGCCGACCUGAGAGGGUGAUCGGCCACACUGGGACUGAGACACGGCCCAGACUCCUACGGGAGGCAGCAGUAGGGAAUCUUCGGCAAUGGGGGCAACCCUGACCGAGCAACGCCGCGUGAGUGAAGAAGGUUUUCGGAUCGUAAAGCUCUGUUGUAAGUCAAGAACGGGUGUGAGAGUGGAAAGUUCACACUGUGACGGUAGCUUACCAGAAAGGGACGGCUAACUACGUGCCAGCAGCCGCGGUAAUACGUAGGUCCCGAGCGUUGUCCGGAUUUAUUGGGCGUAAAGCGAGCGCAGGCGGUUUGAUAAGUCUGAAGUUAAAGGCUGUGGCUCAACCAUAGUUCGCUUUGGAAACUGUCAAACUUGAGUGCAGAAGGGGAGAGUGGAAUUCCAUGUGUAGCGGUGAAAUGCGUAGAUAUAUGGAGGAACACCGGUGGCGAAAGCGGCUCUCUGGUCUGUAACUGACGCUGAGGCUCGAAAGCGUGGGGAGCGAACAGGAUUAGAUACCCUGGUAGUCCACGCCGUAAACGAUGAGUGCUAGGUGUUGGAUCCUUUCCGGGAUUCAGUGCCGCAGCUAACGCAUUAAGCACUCCGCCUGGGGAGUACGACCGCAAGGUUGAAACUCAAAGGAAUUGACGGGGGCCCGCACAAGCGGUGGAGCAUGUGGUUUAAUUCGAAGCAACGCGAAGAACCUUACCAGGUCUUGACAUCCCGAUGCUAUUUCUAGAGAUAGAAAGUUACUUCGGUACAUCGGUGACAGGUGGUGCAUGGUUGUCGUCAGCUCGUGUCGUGAGAUGUUGGGUUAAGUCCCGCAACGAGCGCAACCCCUAUUGUUAGUUGCCAUCAUUCAGUUGGGCACUCUAGCGAGACUGCCGGUAAUAAACCGGAGGAAGGUGGGGAUGACGUCAAAUCAUCAUGCCCCUUAUGACCUGGCUACACACGUGCUACAAUGGUUGGUACAACGAGUUGCGAGUCGGUGACGGCGAGCUAAUCUCUUAAAGCCAAUCUCAGUUCGGAUUGUAGGCUGCAACUCGCCUACAUGAAGUCGGAAUCGCUAGUAAUCGCGGAUCAGCACGCCGCGGUGAAUACGUUCCCGGGCCUUGUACACACCGCCCGUCACACCACGAGAGUUUGUAACACCCGAAGUCGGUGAGGUAACCUUUUGGAGCCAGCCGCCUAAGGUGGGACAGAUGAUUGGGGUGAAGU